rnacentral:lncRNA from 1 species
AAAAAGGAGUUAGAGUUUGAGAGUAAAAAAAUAGGCUGGAUUUGAAACACUUAAAAGUUCAGUCUUUGAGAAUUAAAGAAAAAAUAAUCAGAAAGUACUGUCCCAUUGCCUCUUUUGUUUCUGGUUCACCUCGCUUCUGCCUGUAAUUGCAUUUGCUAUAGCUGGGAUUCUAAGUGGUUUUUCAUGGGUUGCUAUUUAGUUACUUGACACUGUUUCAUUGAGUGUUUUGGGUUCUCUGGUUGGUUUCCAAUCUGUCCCCAGGUUUUCUCCUACUGUUUGCUAUUGGGUUGUCCUGAUCAUUUGUGUUGCUGCUCAUUGUUUGCUACUGCUAUCUUGCUGAUCACUCUUCAUCUUCUUUUGCUUCUAAUAUCAGGUAUACAACUGCUACCCUUUGUAAGCUGAU